AUUAAGAUGGCUGAAGAUAGGCAUUAAACUGUAAAUUUACUAAUGAAAUGAAAUAUUUCUCUUAAUA
rnacentral:tRNA from 1 species